GCUGGUGAGCAGCUGUUGUCCAUCUCCUGGAGCCAAGCGGGGAGCUCAGGCUGCAGUAGACAGCCAUAUCUGGUAGAGGCCAAAGGGAAACGGCCUGCUGAUUAUUGGGCUGCCGUGAAAACUUCACCCUGGAGGUCUUUCACAAACAGGAUAGAGUUUCAUCUUUCUGGAAUGUGUUAGAGCAGCAAGACCUACCCGACCUCUCUGCCCAGGUGAAAUUCAUCUUCCAUGAAGGACUGGGCCCCACGUCUGAGCUGCACAGACCUACAUAGACCUCCACGGAUAGAACAUAGAGCCCCAUCCAUGGUUGCUAAGGCCUUGAACGACUAUCUUUCUCCAGGGAGAUGGAUCUUGAAACUUAGUGCUGCAUAGUAUACCAUAAAAUGGAUAUAUUCCUUCAUUAGUGGACAUUUAAGUUAUUUCCAGUUUUAAAAAACAUGAUAAAAACGACUGCGAGGUACUCAAAAUCAUGAUCACAAGGCCUACUGGAGAGAAGCAGCUGGGUCCAAGACCACUAGGAUUUGUCAACAAUUUAUUUCUCAAGGAGCCCUCUGAGCACUGGGAGCUUAUCUGAGGGGAUUUUCUACCUGAACCCAGUUAUUGCACAGACCCACAGAGAAGCUCAUGUCUUGUCUUUCUUUUCAUGUGAGAGAGGAGAAAAGAAAUGAAGGAUUCAGCCUCUGAAAUCUGAUUGCCCGACUCUCCUGGAGAAGGUGAGGCUGUCCCUGGCCAUGGUAACCUGCCCCACACUCCAGUCAUCUCCAGGACGUUCUUGAACAUUCCACGUGGACACUCCUGUCUGGGCCUGUCCACCUGCGCUCAGCAGCUGUAGAAAUGCACCUCUGCCAAUUUCUGUCGAAUGACCAGGGCUGGCCAACUUUACACUUCUCCAGUGAUCUCUCGGUUCUUUCCUUGCCAGGCUAAAUAAUCUUGUUUCCCAUAACUAAUUUUACAACCCAGUCAUUACGCUUCUUUUGAAAUCACUCUGAGCAUCUCUCAAUUUCUUGAGCCUCUGUUACAUAACAAGAGGCUAAGCCCUAAGUACACAGAGACCAGUGAAAAGAUCGCCAUGUGGCUUCCCUGCUUUCUUGCUUGGGUCCCUGUCGAACACUCAGGCAAGUCUCUUAGAUGUUGUUUUUUGCAGUUUACAGAGCACCACCAUCCCCUCGACCUCAGUCCAUCAGGUCUCUUUAGUGUCUUAUUAUUUCCACUGAUUCAGGGUAAGCUUGGCCCACUGUGGUCUUUAUUUAGAUCAUCUCUAUUAUACCUGUGGGUAGAUCCUGUAAGCAGGCCUUGGCACGGCUUUAUUUGUGGGUUUCCUUUUAAAAGGUCACUGUGAAACAGGAAAUGUGACUAAGAAAAUCUUCUUCUUCCAUGAAACCCUCUUCAUUAACUGGAAAAAGGCACCCGUUCCCUCUCCCCCAGUACUUACUCAUGGCCCAAAUAGACACAUUUCAAAAGAACACAUAGUUCCCAAAACACUGAAAAGUGCACCGUAAGGCUCACGUGUGAGGCGAGUGGUUAUUUGUCAGGUUGGCGCUGUCUGGGGCCGUCCUCAUGCCGACACGUGCUGACUGUCCCCGUUCUUCAUAAUGUCUGAGGACGGAUGGGAGCCUGGGAGGGCCGGGAGGCCUCGUGGCUGACUGAGGAGGGGCGUGCAGCUUAGGAGCCAGAACAGUUGGGGGUGCUCCCCUGGAUAAAGGCCGAGGCAGAUGGGACCCCGUGUCUCCUGGCCCUGCAGCCACAUUUACCCAGUUAAACCACACGCCCAUCUCCUUUAGCUUCUGGAAGGGCCCCCUGCAUCUUUCUUCCUGUCUAGAAGCCAGGUGAUGCUGCAGUGGGGGGACACGGGCUUGCCAGGAGGGGCCCUGGGCACACAGUUCAGGCCUCCUGAUGGGGCUUCCUUGAGGAGGCCGUCGUGGCUGUCCUUGGGAUCACCUGCUUUGCAACCUCGCUUCGCUUUCCUCAGCCAUACAUUAGAAAAACAAUAGUAUAGCUUAUGAGGAGAUGAAAAUACGUUAAAACACAGAAGGCGUCCAGGACAGUCUUGAUCUGCCACCCCUCUGUAAUGUUAGUUAUUAGUCUGAUGGGUUGGUUAGAUUUCCUUUCUAUUCGAGUGAAGGAUUUGGCACCAACUGUGGGCUUUGUUGUGAAAAUGGCCGCAUUGAGGUCUUAUCCUUGGCUAGUCCUUCAAUGGCCAGUAGUUUGUCUUAAGAAGAGCUGAAAAAGGGUGCCUGGGUGGCUCAGUUGGUUAAGCGACUGCCUUCGGCUCAGGUCAUGAUCCUGGAGUCUCGGGAUCGAGUCCCGCAUCGGGCUCCCUGCUCUGCGGGGAGUCUGCUUCUCCCUCUGACCCUCCUCCCUCUCAUGCUCUCUGUCUCUCAUUCUCUCUGUCUCAAAUAAAAAAAAAAGAGCUGAAAAAAAAAAAAAGAAAAAUACGGAUGGUCCAAAUGCACAGUCAAUACUGCUGGGGGCUGAGUGGGGGUGGUGCCUAUCCAGACAGGCUGUGUGGCAGGAAGCCCAGGUCUGAGAUGGCCUGGUUCAGGCCUGUGAGCAGCAUCCGCUCCUCAAAGACAUUGAGUGAGUGGUGUGGUGGGCCCUGGCGCCAUCCCGGGGUGGCCACAGAUCUUGUUAUGGAGAUUACAGACUGAGGUGCAGGAUCUGGGGCUCCAUGUACUCGGACCUGACGCACACAGGGAGUGUGGGAGGAUGUGCGGGGAGUCUUGGCCAGGCUUAGGGGCGCAGGGUCUCAGCUUGACUCACCCCUGCAUCUGCUGCUCUCACUCCCAAGGCCUUUGUGUGCUGGGAAAUUCCUGGGGGAUGGCUAAACCCCACCUCUAUCAGGCCUGAGACUCUUCCUGAGCAGCGAGUUGCUUCAUUCUGCCUAACAGCUUCCUGAAAAUGUAGUCUUGCUACACUGGAGGAAGGCUAGGUCACCGACAAUGUGGGACCCUGAGUCAGCAGGAUUUAACAGGGGAAGCCAGCGC